rnacentral:rRNA from 2 species
UUUUGGAGCCAGCCGCCUAAGGUGGGAUAGAUGAUUGGGGUGAAGUCGUAACAAGGUAGCCGUAUCGGAAGGUGCGGCUGGAUCACCUCCUUUCUAAGGAA